UACGUAGGGGGCAAGCGUUGUCCGGAUUUAUUGGGCGUAAAGAGCGUGUAGGCGGCUUGGAAGUCAGCUGUGAAAACUCGAGGCUCAACCUCGAGACGUCGGUUGAAACCACCUGGCUAGAGUCCGGAAGAGGAGAGUGGAAUUCCCGGUGUAGCGGUGAAAUGCGCAGAUAUCGGGAAGAACACCCGUGGCGAAGGCGGCUCUCUGGGACGGUACUGACGCUGAGACGCGAAAGCGUGGGGAGCAAACAGG
rnacentral:rRNA from 1 species